AGCACGCCGCGGUGAAUACGUUCCCGGGCCUUGUACACACCGCCCGUCACACCAUGGAAGUCUGCAAUGCCCGAAGCCGGUGGCCUAACCACUUAUGUGGAAGGAGCCGUCUAAGGCAGGGCAGAUGACUGGGGUGAAGUCGUAACAAGGUACC
rnacentral:rRNA from 1 species